ACCAAGAUGAAGGCUGUGCAGCGGUUUCUGGGCGAUGGCGACCGGGUCAAGGUGACGAUGCGUUUCCGCGGCCGCGAAAUGGCCCACCAGGACAUCGGCAUGCAGCUUCUGGUCAAGGUCAAGGAGCAGAUGGACGCGAUCGCCAAGGUCGAAAGCCAGCCGCGCUCGGAAGGCCGGCAGAUGGUCAUGGUGCUGGCGCCCAAAUAAGGCGACAGCGUUUUGGAAUUGAAGAAGGCGGGUCGAUGGACCCGCCUUUUUUGUUCUGGGGCGUGGGUUUGGAGAAUGCCUUUUACCCCCUCCUAGCCUCCCCCUCCAGAAGGGGGA
rnacentral:misc_RNA from 1 species